rnacentral:rRNA from 1 species
GACGAACGCUGGCGGCAUGCUUAACACAUGCAAGUCGAACGGAAAGGCCCUGCUUUUGUGGUGUGCUCGAGUGGCGAACGCGUGAGUGACGCGUGAGUAACCUGCCCUUGACUUUGGGAUAACUUCAGGAAACUGGGGCUACUCCCGGAUAGGAGCUCCUGCUGCAUGGUGGGGGUUGGAAAGUUUCGGCGGUUGGGGAUGGAUUGGCGGCUUAUCAGCUUGUUGGUGGGGUAGUGGCUUACCCAGGCUUUGACGGACCGCCGGCCUGGGAGGGUGACCGGCGACAUGGGGACUGCGAUAGGGCGCAGACGCGUACAGGAGGCAAUAGGGGGGAGUAUUGCACAAUGGGCGGGAGUCGGAGGCAGCGACGCCGCGGUCGGGAUGACGGCCUGUGGGGUAUAAACCGCUGUCGCCUGUGACGAAGCGUGAGUGACGGUAAUGGGUAAAGAAGCACCGGCUAACUACGUG